AAUGAAGAGUCCGCGUGCGCAGAGACUAAGCUGGACUGAUAAUUAUGUCAAAGUUCAUCUAUGAAGAGUUAGAAACUAAGCUGACAGUUCAUCUAUAAAGAGCAUAGCUCUAAUUCCAAUGGGAUCAGUGAUUUGGUUAGUUUUACUUUUAGGAGGAUGUCUGAUUGAAGAUGUAUCUGUUCAGACGACCAUUAUAUCUUCUCUGCAAUCAACAAACAGAAUGUAUGUUUGUCCAGGAGAGAUUGUUACCUAUGUCUGCAGUGGAGCUGGAGAUCAAAUUAGGCUAUCAGCACCACCACAUAUUCCUUUGGGCGUUCCUUUGUUGUAUGUGCGUGGAGACCCUCCAGGAUUAGGACGUCUAGAAGAUGGCCCCAUUGUAUCGAAUCUUAUUUCGACUAUUUCACCUUCGAUGGUAGCAGAUUUAAUAGUGCAAAAUUCUUCAUUGCCGGAGUUCUCUGUUCGUUGCACUGUUCUUUCACCUUCUGAUGAAGCUGUAGUCCAGCACAAACCUUCAGGUCCUCCUUUAGAUGUGAUUUCUCCUGUGAUCGGAUUUUUUUUCCCACCAAACAAAGUUAACAUGGCUGGUGUGCAAAUUAACUGGAUGCAUAAUAAUGGAAGCUAUGAUCUUAGUCACUUCACGAUCCAGGUGUUUGAGAGUGACACUAACACUGCAAUUAAAUCCAUCGCUAUUUCUGCAGAAAGCACUAGUUACGAAGCAAUACUUGCUGUACCCGUUAGUACGACCAUGAAUGUCUAUGCACGUAUAACAGUGACGUCCAAGUGUAACCAGACAACCAAUGGAGUUAUGACGGACACUAUUCAGAUAAAUAAGAGUUAGUGGCUAAAGUAGAUGAAAACCAUUCACACUAUUUCCUAGUAUAAAAACAGCAUACGUGUUCUGGGUACUCCUUCUAGCUGCAACAAUUGUCCUAACAAUAAUCUAGGUAUAUAUGUCUGUGUGUCAAAACUUGUAUAUAGGUGUUGAUGUGUACAAGCUAGGUGUUUAAUUACUUAAUGUUAUGCAAUAUUUACUAGGUUCAUAGUUUAAUGAGUUUGUGGUAAAUGUGUUGUUUUGUUCAAUUUUCUUUGUUGUGCGCAGGGCCCCUUGCUCUGGCCCUGCCCCCCUUUGUUUUUGUAUUUGCCAUCACCCACUAUCUUCCUCAGUUGUUGUUGUUAUUUGUCUAAACUCACUAAGAAUUGUUGCAAAGGGUCAAGUCAACUUGUACUCUAGGAUAGGUAGGAGCCUGUCUCCCAACAAUAGCUAACUCUCAAACUAAACUAGCCUGUCUAGUUCUUAGUCUAGAUACAAGAAAGAGCUCAAC